GACUUUGUAAGAGCUUUAUAAAGUUUGGAUUUGUUUUGGAUGACUCUUGAUUUUUAAAAUAAAAUAGAUGAUACUGUUUGGAGAAUUUUGUAAGUUUGGCAGUAGAUCUACAAGUGAAAAUUUUUAGGUUUGCGGAUGUAGUUGUGCUUGAUAUGUAUUGUGAAUUUGGAUUUGAUCAAACUAUUAGAUUAAAAGGCAUGAAGGUUUUUGUGGAUUAUGGUCUC
rnacentral:lncRNA from 1 species